rnacentral:rRNA from 1 species
UACAGAGGGUGCGAGCGUUAAUCGGAAUUACUGGGCGUAAAGCGCGCGUAGACGGUUUGGUAAGUCAGAUGUGAAAUCCCCGGGCUCAACCUGGGAACUGCAUUUGAUACUGCCUGGCUAGAGUAUGGAAGAGGGAAGUGGAAUUUCCGGUGUAGCGGUGAAAUGCGUAGAUAUCGGAAGGAACACCAGUGGCGAAAGCGACUUCCUGGUCCAAUACUGACGUUCAUGUGCGAAAGCGUGGGGAG